UACAUGUGGGGCAAGCGUUGUUCGGAAUUACUGGGCAUAAAGGGUGCGUAGGCGGCUUGUUAAGUCAGGGGUGAAAUCCUUCGGCCCAACCGGAGCAUUGCCUUUGAUACUGGCGAGCUUGAGUGCGUGAGGGGUUACCGGAACGAGUGGUGUAGCGGUGAAAUGCGUAGAUAUCACUCGGAAGGCCAACGGCGAAGGCAGGUAACUGGUGCGCAACUGACGCUGAGGCACGAAAGCGUGGGGGAGCAAACAGG
rnacentral:rRNA from 1 species